rnacentral:rRNA from 1 species
UACGAAGGGUGCAAGCGUUGUUCGGAAUUACUGGGCGUAAAGCGCGCGUAGGCGGGUCUGUAAGUCGAUUGUGAAAUACCUGGGCUUAACCCGGAAUGGCAGUCGAAACUGCAGAUCUUGAAUGUCUGAGAGGAUGGCGGAAUAACCGGUGUAGUAGUGAAAUACGUAGAUAUCGGUUAGAACACCUGAGGCGAAGGCGGCUAUCUGGCGGUACAUUGACGCUGAUGCGCGAAAGCGUGGGGAGCAAACAGG